GCGGGUAUGGUGUAAUGGUAGCACGCGACCCUUCCAAGGUCUCAGUACGAGUUCGAAUCUCGUUACCCGCUCAA
rnacentral:tRNA from 1 species